rnacentral:tRNA from 1 species
GAGGGUACAGCUCAGUGUAUGGCACGUGCUUAGCAUGCACAAGGUCCUGGGUUCAAUCCCCAGUACAUCCA